CAGCCGCCGCGGGAAUACGUAGGGUGCAAGCGUUAAUCGGAAUUACUGGGCGUAAAGCGUGCGCAGGCGGUUAUAUAAGACAGAUGUGAAAUCCCCGGGCUCAACCUGGGAACUACAUUUGUGACUGUAUAGCUAGAGUACGGCAGAGGGGGAUGGAAUUCCGCGUGUAGCAGUGAAAUGCGUAGAUAUGCGGAGGAACACCGAUGGCGAAGGCAAUCCCCUGGGCCUGUACUGACGCUCAUGCACGAAAGCGUGGGGAGCAAACAGGAUUAGAUACCCCCGUAGUCCCUGUCUCUUAUAC
rnacentral:rRNA from 1 species